rnacentral:rRNA from 1 species
UGAGGAAUAUUGGUCAAUGGGCGAGAGCCUGAACCAGCCAAGUAGCGUGAAGGACGACGGCCCUACGGGUUGUAAACUUCUUUUAUAAGGGAAUAAAGUUCGCCACGUGUGGUGUUUUGUAUGUACCUUAUGAAUAAGCAUCGGCUAAUUCCGUGCCAGCAGCCGCGGUAAUACGGAAGAUGCGAGCGUUAUCCGGAUUUAUUGGGUUUAAAGGGAGCGUAGGCGGGCUUUUAAGUCAGCGGUCAAAUGUCACGGCUCAACCGUGGCCAGCCGUUGAAACUGCAAGCCUUGAGUCUGCACAGGGCACAUGGAAUUCGUGGUGUAGCGGUGAAAUGCUUAGAUAUCACGAAGAACUCCGAUCGCGAAGGCAUUGUGCCGGGGCAGCACUGACGCUGAGGCUCGAAAGUGCGGGUAUCAAACAGGAUUAGAUACCCUGGUAGUCCGCACGGUAAACGAUGAAUGCUCGCUAUGGGCGAUAUAUUGUCCGUGGCCAAGCGAAAGCGUUAAGCAUUCCACCUGGGGAGUACGCCGGCAACGGUGAAACUCAAAGGAAUUGACGGGGGCCCGCACAAGCGGAGGAACAUGUGGUUUAAUUCGAUGAUACGCGAGGAACCUUACCCGGGCUUGAAUUGCAGGUGCAUGAGUCGGAGACGGCUCUUUCCUUCGGGACUCCUGUGAAGGUGCUGCAUGGUUGUCGUCAGCUCGUGCCGUGAGGUGUCGGCUUAAGUGCCAUAACGAGCGCAACCCUUCUCCCCAGUUGCCAUCGGGUAAUGCCGGGCCCUCUGGGGACACUGCCAUCGUAAGAUGCGAGGAAGGUGGGGAUGACGUCAAAUCAGCACGGCCCUUACGUCCGGGGCCACACACGUGUUACAAUGGGGGGUACAGAGGGCCGCUGUCCGGUGACGGUCGGCCAAUCCCUAAAACCCCUCUCAGUUCGGACUGGAGUCUGCAACCCGACUCCACGAAGCUGGAUUCGCUAGUAAUCGCGCAUCAGCCAUGGCGCGGUGAAUACGUUCCC